CCUAUAUGUAGCCGACUUUUGAAUCAAGAAAUAUUGAGGGCCUCUGGAAUGAUGUCCAACCAGGGGUUAAGUGACUUUGAUAGACUGCAACGUGGAAGCUUGAGCCCUAUGGCUUCUUCAGACAUGUUGCCAAAUAAUAGAGGAACAGGGAUAAUUGGGUGGAAUGGGCUGCCGAAUGAGAGAUUAGGAAUGCAGGGGUG
rnacentral:misc_RNA from 1 species